GGAUGCGAUCAUACCACACUAAAGCACCGGAUCCCAUCAGAACUCCGAAGUUAAGCGUGCUUGGCGAGAGUAGUACUAGGAUGGGUGACCUCCUGGGAAGUCCUCGUGUUGCAUUCCC
rnacentral:rRNA from 1 species